AAGGCAAGUCAAGUCUAUUUGUCACAUACACAUACAAGAUGUGCAGUAAAAUGAAAGUGGCAAUGCCUGCGGGUUGUGCAAAACAACGGAACAGAAUAGAAGACAAUC